UACGUAGGGUGCAAGCGUUGUCCGGAAUUAUUGGGCGUAAAGAGCUCGUAGGCGGUCUGUCGCGUCUGCUGUGAAAACCUGGGGCUUAACCCUGAGCCUGCUUCCGAUACGGGCAGACUAGAGGUAUGCAGGGGAGAAUGGAAUUCCUGGUGUAGCGGUGAAAUGCGCAGAUAUCAGGAGGAACACCGGUGGCGAAGGCGGUUCUCUGGGCAUUACCUGACGCUGAGGAGCGAAAGUGUGGGGAGCGAACAGG
rnacentral:rRNA from 1 species